rnacentral:rRNA from 1 species
AGUGAACGCUGGCGGUAGGCCUAACACAUGCAAGUCGAACGGCAGCACAGUAAGAGCUUGCUCUUACGGGUGGCGAGUGGCGGACGGGUGAGGAAUACAUCGGAAUCUACUUUUUCGUGGGGGAUAACGUAGGGAAACUUACGCUAAUACCGCAUACGACCUACGGGUGAAAGCAGGGGAUCUUCGGACCUUGCGCGAUUGAAUGAGCCGAUGUCGGAUUAGCUAGUUGGCGGGGUAAAGGCCCACCAAGGCGACGAUCCGUAGCUGGUCUGAGAGGAUGAUCAGCCACACUGGAACUGAGACACGGUCCAGACUCCUACGGGAGGCAGCAGUGGGGAAUAUUGGACAAAGGGCGCAAGCCUGAUCCAGCCACACCGCGUGGGUGAAGAAGGCCUUCGGGUUGUAAAGCCCUUUUGUUGGGAAAGAAAAGCAGCAGGUUAAUACCCCGCUGUUCCGACGGUACCCAAAGAAUAAGCACCGGCUAACUUCGUG